UACAGAGGGUGCAAGCGUUGUUAGGAAUUAUUGGGCGUAAAGGGCGCGUAGGCGGUCUGUCAAGUCGAAUGUGAAAGCCCAGGGCUCAACCUUGGAAGUGCAUCCGAAACUGGCAGACUAGAAUCUAGGAGAGGGUGGUGGAAUUCCCAGUGUAGAGGUGAAAUUCGUAGAUAUUGGGAGGAACACCGGUGGCGAAGGCGACCGCCUGGACGAAGAUUGACGCUGAGGCGCGAAAGCGUGGGUAGCAAACAGG
rnacentral:rRNA from 1 species